AGCAGUAGCCGCGGGAAUACGAAGGGGGCUAGCGUUGUUCGGAAUUACUGGGCGUAAAGCGCAUGUAGGCGGAUAUUUAAGUCAGGGGUGAAAUCCCAGAGCUCAACUCUGGAACUGCCUUUGAUACUGGGUAUCUUGAGUAUGGAAGAGGUAAGUGGAAUUCCGAGUGUAGAGGUGAAAUUCGUAGAUAUUCGGAGGAACACCAGUGGCGAAGGCGGCUUACUGGUCCAUUACUGACGCUGAGGUGCGAAAGCGUGGGGAGCAAACAGGAUUAGAUACCCGUGUAGUCCCUGUCUCUUAUAC
rnacentral:rRNA from 1 species